UACGAGGGGGGCGAGCGUUGUUCGGAAUUAUUGGGCGUAAAGGGUGCGUAGGCGGUUUGGUAAGUCUUAUGUGAAAUCUACAGGCUCAACUUGUAGUCUGCAUGAGAAACUGCCGGGCUUGAGUAUGGGAGAGGCGAGUGGAAUUCCUGGUGUAGCGGUGAAAUGCGUAGAUAUCAGGAGGAACACCUGUGGCGAAAGCGGCUCACUGGCUCGUAACUGACGCUCAGGCGCGACAGCGUGGGGAUCAAACAGG
rnacentral:rRNA from 1 species